rnacentral:rRNA from 1 species
UGCAAGGUUAAGCAGUAAAUGUGGAGCCGUAGCGAAAGCGAGUCUGAAUAGGGCGUUUAGUAUUUGGUCGUAGACCCGAAACCAGGUGAUCUACCCUUGGUCAGGUUGAAGUUCAGGUAACACUGAAUGGAGGACCGAACCGACUUACGUUGAAAAGUGAGCGGAUGAACUGAGGGUAGCGGAGAAAUUCCAAUCGAACCUGGAGAUAGCUGGUUCUCUCCGAAAUAGCUUUAGGGCUAGCCUCAAGUGAUGAUUAUUGGAGGUAGAGCACUGUUUGGACGAGGGGCCCCUCUCGGGUUACCGAAUUCAGACAAACUCCGAAUGCCAAUUAAUUUAACUUGGGAGUCAGAACAUGGGUGAUAAGGUCCGUGUUCGAAAGGGAAACAGCCCAGACCACCAGCUAAGGUCCCAAAAUAUAUGUUAAGUGGAAAAGGAUGUGGCGUUGCCCAGACAACUAGGAUGUUGGCUUAGAAGCAGCCAUCAUUUAAAGAGUGCGUAAUAGCUCACUAGUCGAGUGACACUGCGCCGAAAAUGUACCGGGGCUAAACAUAUUACCGAAGCUGUGGAUUGUCCUUUGGACAAUGGUAGGAGAGCGUUCUAAGGGCGUUGAAGCAUGAUCGUAAGGACAUGUGGAGCGCUUAGAAGUGAGAAUGCCGGUGUGAGUAGCGAAAGACGGGUGAGAAUCCCGUCCACCGAUUGACUAAGGUUUCCAGAGGAAGGCUCGUCCGCUCUGGGUU